rnacentral:lncRNA from 1 species
GCGGUAAAAAUAUAAAUACGAUACUCUGGAUAACCUCUCGGGUGAAGUGCUCACCGAUAUCCGUGCGCUUGCGGAUCAUUUCCUGAUGGCGUUACCAAAUAUCAACAAGCAUUUCUGGCGCCAUUGCCGGGGAGAAAGACGGUUUGCUAAGAUAACUUUAAGUUUGCUAUUCUCUUGUAUUAUACUUUUAUACUUUUAUUCUUUUAUCUUUUUAUUUUUUCCAUCUUUAUGGAUAACUCAAAUUCCACACCUAUUAUUGAAUUUUUUGCACCUUCGAAGACCAGCCAUAGACCAUGGGAGUCAACAAGUCCUUUCUUUGCCCCUAAUUAUGAUCUGUGUCCGGAGUUGAUUGCAAUAGGUUAAAACUAACCCUUUUCUAUAGCCGAGGUCCUAUCUUUUAAUCAAGAAGAUAAUGAACUUUUAGUUACACCUAGGGAAUCUUUUAAUCUUUCUAUAAAUUCUGGUUUAUACCUAGCCCUACAAGACCAUGUUUUUCCUCGAUAUUGUCACAUUGGUCUUAGUCAUAUAACCUUUUGUAGACGUUCUCUUUCUUUAUCUGUUAGUAAAGAAAGGUAUGUCUUCAUUCGUGGACAUCCUUCUUGCACUAAUCUUCAUAAAAAAAUCCUAG